ACCGGGGGGAUGAGCUGAAAAGUCAAAGAUUUAUCGCCUAGGGAUGAGCUCGCGUCUGAUUAGCUAGUUGGUGGGGUAAAAGCAUACCAAGGCAACGAUCAGUAGCUGGUCUGAGAGGAUGAUCAGCCACACUGGGACUGAGACACGGCCCAGACUCCUACGGGAGGCAGCAGUGGGGAAUUUUCCGCAAUGGGCGAAAGCCUGACGGAGCAAGACCGCGUGGGGGAGGAAAGCCUUUGGGUUGUAAACCCCUUUUCUCAGGGAAGAAGAAAGUGACGGUACCUGAGGAAUCAGCCUCGGCUAACUCCGUGCCAGCAGCCGCGGUAAUACGGAGGAGGCAAGCGUUAUCCGGAAUGAUUGGGCGUAAAGCGUCCGCAGGUGGCUCAUCAAGUCUGCUGUUAAAUCCAGUAGCUUAACUACUGAGUGGCAGUGGAAACUGAGGAGCUAGAGUGCGGUAGGGGCAGAGGGAAUUCCUGGUGUAGCGGUGAAAUGCGUAGAGAUCAGGAAGAACACCGGUGGCGAAAGCGCUCUGCUGGGCCGCAACUGACACUCAGGGACGAAAGCUAGGGGAGCGAAUGGGAUUAGAUACCCCCAGUAGUCA
rnacentral:rRNA from 2 species